rnacentral:sRNA from 1 species
GUGGCCCUGCUGUCCGCACACAGAGCAGCCUUUGAUGGGCUGCCUUUGACGUGAUUUGUUUACGGCAGCCAGAAAUGCUUCCUGCAUAAUGAGAGCAGUUAAUCAUGGAAACUGGGCUAUUCCUGUUUGUGCACUUCUAGCAAUCUUCUGUUGUAAAUAUUAAAAGAUAAAAGCUUCGAUGAUGAAGAAUCAGUGGAUGGAAAUAGGCCAUCAUCAGCUGCUUCAGCCUUCAAGGUUCCUGCACCUAAAACAUCCGGAAAUCCUGUCAACAGUGCAAGGAAGCCUGGUUCAGCAGGUGGCCCUAAGGUUGGAGGUGCUUCUAAAGAAGGAGGUGCUGGAGCAGUUGAUGAAGAUGAUUUUAUAAAAGCUUUUACAGAUGUCCCUUCUAUUCAGAUUUAUUCUAGUCGAGAACUCGAAGAAACGUUAAAUAAAAUCAGGGAAAUUUUGUCAGAUGAUAAGCAUGACUGGGAUCAGCGUGCCAAUGCACUGAAGAAAAUUCGAUCACUGCUUGUUGCUGGAGCUGCACAGUAUGAUUGCUUUUUUCAACAUUUACGAUUGUUGGAUGGAGCACUUAAACUUU